AUGAAAAAAAAAAAAGAAAUCUGCAUCACAGUGCAUGGAAAGGAGCGAGGAUUGGUGGGAAGGUCGGGAGCUCGCAGCUGGGGCGGCACUAACGUGGUGAGGAGGGGGACUGCGGGCCCAGAAUUUUCCUGUGGAUGCACAGAUAAAGCCGAGAAUAUCACAGGGGUAAGGGCUGAACUUGGCACGGGUCAGGACGCCCGCAGUGUGCACGGUGGGCACGGCACAGAGCGCAACGAGGCGUGGGGAGGACACGGGGUGGGCAGCAGCCGCCGCUUGUCUUCUGCCUUCCGCACACGGAGCUGGUUUGGUACCGGUGCUCCCUGCUCUCCUUGUGGCACCCUGAAGGAGCAGCCGGGCUGGGAAGUGCUGUGCCGGGCAGAGGUGAGCUCUGCUGUUGCUUUGGGGAUGCGCAUGCAGCCGCCAGGCCGGCAAGGUCACAUACCCAACAUGUCCUCGUUAAACAAAGCCAUUUACCAACACCGUGUUGACACAGCAGAGCUCGGGACAGAGUCACAAAGGGCACUCGCCAUGGGCCCCUGCGCCACCGGGGAGCCUGGGGAGCACCGCAGAGAGUGGAGAAGUGUCCCCUGCUUCUGCCCGGCACGAAACCGCUGCUGUGCUCACAGCCAGAACCCUCACCCAGGCAGGGACACCUACGGGAGAUGCUCCCGGCACUCCCGAGCCAAGCCGGUGCGAAUCAGCCGGGGUGGGUGCACAGCGGCCACGGCAGCAGCGACCGCCGAGAUACCCGACGGCCAAACGGGGCGCCGAGCCGGGCGGAGAACGAGCCCAGAGACGGGACCAGAGCCCCAACCCCGGGCUCAGCUCCGCCGGGGCUCGGGCCGCUCCCUGGAGCCGUUCCGCCGCGCCCCGAGCUCACGGCCACGCGAUGUGCGGUGUCCGCCGCUGCUGUGCGGGCGCUCCCCACCCUCCUUCCCUCCCCGCUGCCCGUACCUGUCGGGGUUGGGCUGGAGGCGGCUCCCGGGCGCAUCUCGGUGCUGGCGGAGACCGGGACCGGGACCGGCGCGCUCGGCCGCUCCGGCGAAAACUUUUGCCGGAGCCGCGGCGGCGGCGGCGGUGGCGACUCGAGGGGGAGGGACCGUCGCGGGGGGAGGGACCGCGGGAGAGAAGCCUCUUCCCGCCGCCCCGCUCCUCCCGCUGGCACGGGGGGGCGGAGGGGGCGCGGCUCGGUGCCCCCUCCCGGCGUUCCGACCGGCACAGGGUAAAGCUCCCGGGAGCUGCGAGCGCCCGCGCCUGUCACCGCCUCCGGUCCCGGUGCUGCCUCCUCUGCUCCGAACCGUCCCGGUGCUGAGCACCCCGUGGCCGCCCGGCGCAGCGGCGGGGACAGCCGGGAGCGCACCGGCCCCGUGCGGGAAGGAUGCGGCCGAGCGCGGCUUUGUCGGGUCAGCUCCGGCUCCGGCUCCGGCGCUGCUCCACGCUCCCGGCACUGCGGGUCCCCCCGUCCCCCGCGCUGCACCCCGGCCCCGUCUGCCCGACGGCCCCGGCCCAGCCCCGGCGUCGGGAGGUGACGGGUCCCCGCCCGCUGCCGGUGCCCGGAGCUGGCGGCUCCUGCCCGUGGGAACGGAGCUGACCCCGCGCCCGGACGGAUCCCCGCGGGGCGGCCGGGAGCUGCGCCGACCCUCUCGUUCCGGCCUCCGCUGGCGGUGUCGGGUCUGUGUUUGCCAUGCGCUGUCCUGGCGGAGCGCGGCCAGGUAA
rnacentral:lncRNA from 1 species